rnacentral:lncRNA from 13 species
CUCCCCUCUCUCUCUGUUAUUCUGGUAAAAGGGGUGAAUGGCCAAGGUUUCUUUUUAUGCAAUAAAAAUAUGUCCUUGCCAGAUCGAUUGUUGUUGCUAGGAGACUGAAGCAUCCUCUGGCAAGGGCUGCCCGCGCUCUGGUACUAGAUGUAUUUUUUUCCUCCUCACGCUCUCUCUAUCUCUCUCUCUCUCGCUCUUUCUCUCUCUCUCUCUCAGUUUGACUCUGAGGGAUCAGGAGUAAGACAAACUCGCCUCAAGUGCUCAAAUAACUGCAAGAUUUGCGCGCCUCACAUUCUAAAUAAAGUAGUCCACAUGCGCGCGCUCAGGCAAGUUCAAUUAAAUGUUGACGGAAUGACGUGAGUAAAAUAAAAAUGUAUGUUGUGGUGUGGUGUGCAUUGUAUUUACAGACACGCAAUCAUAUCUGCAUCCUUCAUCAUCAUCAGAUAUGAUGUGUGAGUGAUAACCUAAUAUUUGAUUAAUGACAAUUCUCUUUCUUGACUAGAGCAAAAUCAACUUGGCAGAGAAACUAAGGUUAAGUCAGACUGCCAUAUCGGAGAAAAAUAAAAGAAAAUGUAUAUUUCCUCGCGUAGCAGUAGCAGUGUUUUCCGCAGCGUAGAGAAGUUAUUUGGGCUGUUAUAUAAUUCGUUAGGCUACAGACAUCAAAUGGACAGAGGAUCCCACGAAACCAAACUAAGAAACGAUGUGUGAAGGGGUAAUAACUGCUUUCUAACCUCGGUGACGCAUUUGAUGGAUACAGUUACUGAUGAGUUCAUACAAGUAUUUUGUUUCGGAGUAUGUUCCACCAACUAAGUGGACCAGAACGCAUCGAUUUACCCAUCAAUCUGCGGUGUGCUCCGCUACUUUGCCCUCCUCGUAAGCAGGUGAGCGCGCGCGUGCGUUUGCGUUCCUACCUGUCUUCCCUUCCAGGCGGAUUUGGGAUUUAGUAGGUUGUAUUUAGUCAGUGGUGUCGAUUACCACAAACUCAUUUAUGUGUUAUUAUAGUUAGUUGGAUGUAGGCUAGAUGGAUCUUGUUUUAGUGAAGUGAACUGGACAGUGUCCUGGUAUUCGGGGACUGUUGCCACUGUGUUUCUCUGCUGCCUCUCAGGACUCUCUGACUGACAGACUAGGGGCUCUAUUUUUAAAAACCUAAUGCAAUGGUAAAUCUGAGCAUAGGCGGUAGGGCUAUAGGUUCAGGGGUGUGUCAGAAAUACACUACAUGACCAAAAGAAUGUGAACACCUGCUCAUGGGAAGGCUUUCCACUAGAUGUUGAAACGUUGCUGCGGGGACUUGCUUCCACUCAGCCACAAGAGCAUUAGUGAGGUCGGCACUGAUGUUGGGUGAUUAGGCCUGGUUCACAGUCGGCGUUCUAAUUCAUACCAAAGGUGUACGAUGGGGUUGAGGUCAGGGCUCUAUGCAGGUCAGUCAAAUUCUUCCACAAACCAUUUAUGUAUGGACCUCGCUUUGUGCACUGUCUUGCUGAAACGGGAAAGGGCCUUCCUCAAACAGUUGCCACAAAGUUGGAAGCACAGAAGCAUCUAGAAUGUAUGUUAUAGCGUUAAGAUUUCCCUUCACUGGAACUAAGGGACCUAGCCCAAACCUCUAAGGGGCCUAGCCCAAACCACUAAGGAGCCUAGCCCAAACCACUAAGGGGCCUAGCCCAAACCACUAAGGAGCCUAGCCCAAACCAUGAAAAUCAGCCCCAGACCAUUAUUUGUCCUCCACCAAACUUAACAGUUGGCACUGCGCAUUUGACAGGUAAUGUUCUCCUGAUAGCUGACAAACCCAGAUUGGUCCAUCGGACUUCCAGAUGGUGAAGCGUGAUUCAUCACUGCUCCAGAGUCCAAUGGUGGAGAGUUUUACACUUAGCAUUGCACAUGGUGAUUUUAGGCUCUUGUGCGGCUGCUAGGCCAUGGAAACCCAUUUCAUGAAGCUCCUGACGAACAAUUAUUGUGCUGACGUUGCUUCCAGAGACAGUUUGGAACUCGGUAGUGAGUGUUGAAACCAAGGACAGAUGAUUUUUACGUGCUACACUCUCCUGUUAUGUGAGCUUGUGUAGAAUACCACUUCGCGGCUGAGCCGUUGUUGCUCCUAGGUAUUUCCAUUUCACAAUAACAACAUUGGGGCAGCUUGACAGAGGCAGCUCCAGCAGGGCAGAAAUAUGACAAACUGACUUGGAAAGGUGGCAUCCUAUGACGGUGCCACAUUGAAAGUCACUGAGCUCUUCCAUUCUACUGCCAAUGUUUGUCUAUGGAGAUUGUAUGGCUGUGUGCUCGAUUUUAUACACCUGUCAGCAACGGGUCUGGCUGAAAUAGCCUAAUCCACUCAUUUGAAGGGGUGUCCACAUACCUUUGUAUACAUAGUGUAUGUUUUCUAUUUUUAUUUUCACAAUUUUCAGCGCACUUGCUGGCAUUGGUGCACAAGGGAUGGUUGUUGAUGAAUAAACAAGUUGUGGGUGUGUCAAGGCUUGGCCCCUCCCUGGCCAAUCAGAACAUACUCCAUGGCCAAAUAUGUGGUUGCUUCAAGUUGUGUAUUUUUGGUCUUUUAAUUAUUGCCUUGGAUUCAACUCCAAUUCCAAUAUUAGUCAGUUAUAGUUUGUUAAAUGGCUUACAGAAACAAAAUAAUAAAAUGUAGACCUAUCUUUGCUAAAUACCUUUAACUUGAACCCAUUUGCAGUACACAUUGUUCUAAUUAAUUGCAUGGCUCCAAUAGCAUGCACACUCAUAUAGGGGCUAGGCAUUAUGGCUGAGCAUGGACAUGCUGAACAUUGUCAAUAUCAAGAUUAAAUUCAAUAUUGAUAAGGCCUAAAAAGAGAACAAAUAAUUCUAAUCAAAUUCUAAACAAAACAAAACAACAGCUUGUUUUAAGUAGGCUAUGUCACACUUACAAGCACCAUCAUUUCUCCCCGUGGGCAUAUAAUAUGAAAACAACGCAGACUAUGCCCAUCCAAACUUUUCACAGUAGCUGGACAAAGUUCAAAUAAGAGAAAGGGAGAAUGUCCACUCACCGUUAUACUGCUCCCAAAUAGGCAUAUGUUUUAUAAACAUAAUCGGAACCAUAUUACAGAUCUUCAGAAAUUGCUUUGCAAUCGCGUCACGGACGUUGUCACCAUAAUACCAGGAAGGUGAAUCAACAAGCAAUCAGUAUUUUUUUAACAACAACAACUAUAAAUACAUGCUAAAUGUAAUGAUAUCAUAAAAUAUCAAGGAUAAAAAAGACACGCAUUGCCCUUGAACCAUCCUUUGUUCCAGUAGAAAAUAUGAACAUAUGAAACAGAAAACAAGCAAUUGUUACAGUUUACAUGUAACUUCUAAAUAUGAGGUUCACCAGUGUUCACCGAGGUUCUCGUCUCUCGUUUCAUGAUGUGCAUGGACACGAAGCCUACAUCAUGAAGGGGGGUUUACGCAGUACCAAAACGGGACCUGUAUGGCUCAAAUAACGUUGGCCUGCUUACAAUGCAUAAAUAAAAAGGGAAUGUCAUCUCACUAUUUUACUCUCAAACGUUAUAUUUUAAUGAAGCUUUGGUGAUUAGGAACCUUUCUCAGGAGCCAAAGUCCAACACAGCCUCACAAUCAAUUGAACGACAAAAACGCACGAAAUCUGCUGAAAUACAUUUUGUAAAUAUAUGCGCGAAUUGAAUGUGAGGCUGGGCUGCAAAACCUGUAUCGACAGUCUUGACUACUUCGUGAUUCCAUUGGGCCGGACAAAAAAAGCCUUAAUUGAGUGAAGGGGUGGCUAUGCUUGGUUAUUAACCAAAUAAAGCAAAAUUGGAAAAACAUAUAUAUUUUUUCUAAAUUCAAAGUAUAAAGGCACCAAAAGCACGUCAGUUUAGGGCAGGUAGCCUAGUGGUUAGUGUGUUGGGCCACUAACCGAAAGGUUGCUGGAUCAAAUCCCAGAGCUGACAUGAUAAAAAUCGUAGCAGUUAACCCACUGUUUCCCUGGUGCGGUGGAUGUCAAUUAAGGCAGCCCCCGCACCUCUCUGAUUCAGCGGGGUUGGGUUAAAUGCGAAAGACACAUUUCAGUUGAAGGCAUUCAAUUGUACAACUAUCUAGGUAUCUAAAACCAUUUUUUUGUUUGUAAUAAAUAUCCCUAUCUGCGCUACCUCAAAUUAGCACUUUAGAUUAUGUUUUGGAAAUGCCAGUGGACCAGUUUUUACAUGACAAAAUUGCAAAAUAACGUGCGUUGACACUAGCGCCGCCUUUACGCCAGCCGAAAAUAGAGCCCAAGGUGUGUCAGUGUGUGUGUGCGUAAGUGAGUGAGUGUG